UACGGAGGGUGCAAGCGUUGUCCGGAAUCACUGGGCGUAAAGGGUGCGCAGGCGGACUGGUAAGUCAGUGGUGAAAUCUCGUCGCUUAACGACGAAACUGCCUUUGAUACUAUCAGUCUUGAAUCCGGUAGAGAUCUGUGGAAUUCCGAGUGUAGCAGUGAAAUGUGUAGAUAUUCGGAAGAACACCAGUGGCGAAGGCAGCAGAUUGGGCCGGUAUUGACGCUCAGGCACGAAAGCGUGGGGAGCAAACAGG
rnacentral:rRNA from 1 species